AUACGUAGGUGGCAAGCGUUGUCCGGAAUUAUUGGGCGUAAAGCGCAUGUAGGCGGUUUGGUAAGUCGGUCGUGAAAAUGCGGUGCUUAACGCCGUAUGGCGAUUGAAACUGCUGAACUUGAGUGCAGGAGAGGAAAGGGGAACUCCCAGUGUAGCGGUGAAAUGCGUAGAUAUUGGGAAGAACACCGGGGGCGAAGGCGCCUUUCUGGACUGUGUCGGACGCUCAGAUGCGAAAGCCAGGGUAGCGAACGGGAUUAGAUCCCUCGGUAGUCCUGGCCGUAAACGAUGGGUACUAGGUGUGGGAGGUAUCGACUCCUUCCGUGCCGGAGUUAACGCAAUAAGUACCCCGCCUGGGGAGUACGGCCGCAAGGCUUAAACUCAAAGGAAUUGACGGGG
rnacentral:rRNA from 1 species